GAUGAACGCUGGCGGCGUGCCUAAUACAUGCAAGUCGAGCGAACAGACGAGGAGCUUGCUCCUCUGACGUUAGCGGCGGACGGGUGAGUAACACGUGGAUAACCUACCUAUAAGACUGGGAUAACUUCGGGAAACCGGAGCUAAUACCGGAUAAUAUAUUGAACCGCAUGGUUCAAUAGUGAAAGACGGUUUUGCUGUCACUUAUAGAUGGAUCCGCGCCGCAUUAGCUAGUUGGUAAGGUAACGGCUUACCAAGGCAACGAUGCGUAGCCGACCUGAGAGGGAGGGCGGCCGCAAGGGAAGGAGACCGGGAGCAACACUACCAGGGGAGGACGCUGAGGGCGGCAUCAGGAAGGGGGGAAACGCCUAACGGAGCAACCGGGUGUGGGGGGUAGAGGUGUGGGGUCAGAAAAAUUCGAUUAAGGGAAAAAAAAAGAUGUGCAGUAAACUGAAAACUUUGUGAAGGUACCGAAGAAGAAAGCACCGGAUAAGUCUGUG
rnacentral:rRNA from 1 species